rnacentral:rRNA from 1 species
AUUGAACGCUAGCGGGAUGCUUUACACAUGCAAGUCGAACGAGUGGCGGACGGGUGAGUAAUAUAUCGGAACGUGCCUAGUAGCGGGGGAUAACUACUCGAAAGAGUGGCUAAUACCGCACACUAUAGGAGCGGGCGAUAUCGGUUGAGCUAGUUGUUGGGGUAAAGGCUCACCAAGGCAACGACCCGUAGCUGGUGUGAGAGGACGACCAGCCACACGGGGACUGAGACACGGCGCAGACGCCUACGGGAGGCAGCAGUGGGGAAUUUUGGACAAUGGGGGAAACCCUGAUCCAGCCAUGCCGCGUGUAUGAGAAGGCCUUCGGGUUGUAAAGUACUUUUGGCAGAGAAGCGGUAUCUGCAGAAUAAGCACCGGCUAACUACGUGCCAGCAGCCGCGGUAAUUC